UCUCCGUUGGUGAACCAGCGGAGGGAUCAUUACAGAGCUGCAAAACUCCCAAACCAUUGUGAACGUUACCUAUCCCGUUGCUUCGGCGGGCGGCCCGGGCCCCGCGCCCGGCGCCCCCCGGCCCCCCGUGGGCGCCCGCCGGAGGUAAACCAAACCCUUGAAUUGCAUGGCCUCUCUGAGUCUUCUGUACUGAAUAAGUCAAAACUUUCAACAACGGAUCUCUUGGUUCUG
rnacentral:misc_RNA from 1 species